rnacentral:rRNA from 1 species
UGGGGAAUAUUGCACAAUGGGCGCAAGCCUGAUGCAGCCAUGCCGCGUGUAUGAAGAAGGCCUUCGGGUUGUAAAGUACUUUCAGCGGGGAGGAAGGGAGUAAAGUUAAUACCUUUGCUCAUUGACGUUACCCGCAGAAGAAGCACCGGCUAACUCCGUGCCAGCAGCCGCGGUAAUACGGAGGGUGCAAGCGUUAAUCGGAAUUACUGGGCGUAAAGCGCACGCAGGCGGUUUGUUAAGUCAGAUGUGAAAUCCCCUGGCUCAACCUGGGAACUGCAUCUGAUACUGGCAAGCUUGAGUCUCGUAGAGGGGGGUAGAAUUCCAGGUGUAGCGGUGAAAUGCGUAGAGAUCUGGAGGAAUACCGGUGGCGAAGGCGGCCCCCUGGACGAAGACUGACGCUCAGGUGCGAAAGCGUGGGGAGCAAACA